UACAGAGGUCUCAAGCGUUGUUCGGAUUCAUUGGGCGUAAAGGGUGCGUAGGCGGACUGAUAAGUCAGCGGUGAAAUCUCUCGGCUCAACCGAGAAACUGCCGUUGAUACUGUUAGUCUUGAAUGCAGAUGAUGUGGGCGGAAUAUGACAUGUAGUGGUGAAAUACUUAGAUAUGUCAUAGAACACCGAUUGCGAGGGCAGCUCACAAAACUGUGAUUGACGCUGAUGCACGAAAGCGUGGGGAUCAAACAGG
rnacentral:rRNA from 1 species